AGGGGAGUGAAAAAGAACCUGAAACCGUGUACGUACAAGCAGUGGGAGCCCCACCACUAAGCCAGUGGUGAACUCCACAUACGCAUCCUUUGCUGAGGAUACGGUUAACGGAGCGAAAGCGACGUUCAACCUCAAAAGAAGCAGAGGGGGCUUAGUGGUGGGGUGACUGCGUACCUUUUGUAUAAUGGGUCAGCGACUUAUAUUCUGUAGCAAGGUUAACCGAAUAGGGGAGCCGGAGGGAAACCGAGUCUUAAUUGGGCGUUAAGUUGCAGGGUAUAGACCCGAAACCCGGUGAUCUAGCCAUGGGCAGGUUGAAGGUUGGGUAACACUAACUGGAGGACCGAACCGACUAAUGUUGAAAAAUUAGCGGAUGACCUGUGGCUGGGGGUGAAAGGCCAAUCAAACCGGGAGAUAGCUGGUUCUCCCCGAAAGCUAUUUAGGUAGCGCCUCGUGAAUUCAUCUCCGGGGGUAGAGCACUGUUUCGGCUAGGGGGUCAUCCCGACUUACCAACCCGAUGCAAACUGCGAAUACCGGAGAAUGUUAUCACGGGAGACACACGGCGGGUGCUAACGUCCGUCGUGAAGAGGGAAACAACCCAGACCGCCAGCUAAGGUCCCAAAGUCAUGGUUAAGUGGGAAACGAUGUGGGAAGGCCCAGACAGCCAGGAUGUUGGCUUAGAAGCAGCCAUCAUUUAAAGAAAGCGUAAUAGCUCACUGGUCGAGUCGGCCUGCGCGGAAGAUGUAACGGGGCUAAACCAUGCACCGAAGCUGCGGCAGCGACACUGUGUGUUGUUGGGUAGGGGAGCGUUCUGUAAGCCGUUGAAGGUGUGUCGUGAGGCAUGCUGGAGGUAUCAGAAGUGCGAAUGCUGACAUAAGUAACGAUAAUGCGGGUGAAAAACCCGCACGCCGGAAGACCAAGGGUUCCUGUCCAACGUUAAUCGGGGCAGGGUGAGUCGACCCCUAAGGCGAGGCCGAAAGGCGUAGUCGAUGGGAAACGGGUUAAUAUUCCCGUACUUGGUGUUACUGCGAAGGGGGGACGGAGAAGGCUAUGUUGGCCGGGCGACGGUUGUCCCGGUUUAAGCGUGUAGGUGUGUGUUCCAGGUAAAUCCGGUUCACUUUAACACUGAGGCGUGAUGACGAGGCACUACGGU
rnacentral:rRNA from 1 species